GCGCCGAUGGUGUAAAGGCGUAGAGCAUUCCCGCCCGGUCAGAGGUGGAGGUGCGGGUUCGAGUCCCGCCUGGCGCU
rnacentral:tRNA from 1 species